UACGUAGGUGGCAAGCGUUGUCCGGAUUUACUGGGCGUAAAGAGCGCGCAGGCGGUCGUUCAAGUCGCGUGUGAAAGCCCCCGGCUCAACUGGGGAGGGUCACGCGAUACUGAUCGACUCGAAGGCAGGAGAGGGUAGUGGAAUUCCCGGUGUAGUGGUGAAAUGCGUAGAUAUCUGGAGGAACACCGGUGGCGAAGGCGGCAUCCUGGACCGGCAUUGACGCUGAGGCGCGAAAGCCAGGGGAGCAAACGGG
rnacentral:rRNA from 1 species